GUUAUAUUUUCAAUUGGGGGUUGAGAAACCUGAAAAAUUGAAGAUGGCCGAUGUUUUGUUUGUAAGGAAAAAAGAUGGAUAGGUUGUGCUACCGCGACUAUAUAUGUUUAGAUAGUUUUUCGUUGUAAAAAAAAAAAAAAAAAAAAAAAAAAAAAAUUAAAAAAAAGUGCAACAAAAAAAGUCCUGUUUAUUAUUGCAGGACAAAAUGAACGCAACAAGCCUAUAUGUUUCGACAUGUCGGCUUGUUUUGCAAGCAGACGCCGAAGAUCUAAAUUCAUGGACCGAUUUAUAUAGGCUAGUUCCUUAUUUAAGACAAAGCCUAAGUUGUACUGUUUGUUCAAAUCUUUUAAUUGAACCGCAUACGCCAACAGAAACAAAUUGUCAACAUCAUGUAUGUCGUGGUUGUAGAGGUGGUCGUAAAAAACUUAAACCUUCUUGUGGAUGGUGUAAAGACUAUGAGAAAUAUGUGGAAAAUGUGCAACUUCGAAUUCUCCUUCAAUGUUAUAAAAAACUUUGCGAGUACCUGACAAGCACAAACAUAUAUCGAAGUUUAAUUUUAUCAGUGUCUUCCAAUAAUACUAAUAUUGGGUCAGUGACAAUGGGUGCAAGUAGUUUAAUGGAACUCAUUCAAGAAGGCGCGGGUUUUAAAGAUGAAUUUAAAUGUACAGCCGGUUUAUCGAAAUCUGCUUAUAGUAUUUUACCCUGUGUUUAUACUAGUACAACAUCAACUCAAACACAAGGAAGUGUUCUUCAAUCUCAAGAUGUGGCCUCGCAAAAUAUUUCAGAACCUUCAACAAUUAGAUCGGUAUCGAAUGGAGCUUCGAUAUAUUCUGUAAUGUAUGCCGGAUCUGGAAAUAAAAUAACAAUAAAACGAAAGGCUGCUGCCACUGAAGGAUCGGAUAUUUCACAUCAUGAAUUAGAUACAUCGCAACAAAGUUCUGUUGCAGGAUCAGUUAAAUGUAUUUCCUCUCAAAUGCCAUAUGGUUCAUCUUCACAGAGAAAGUCCUCAAAAAGUAGCAAGAAUUCGGGAAGUUUUAAAAAACCACGUUCCGGUUCAACGCGAAGUAAAAGAAAAGGCUGUCGUUGCGGUAAUGCAACAGCAAUUCCUGGAAAAUUAACUUGUUGCGGUCAGCGAUGUCCGUGUUAUGUGGAAAGUAAACCCUGCUCAGAAUGCAGGUGUCGAGGUUGUAGAAAUCCCCAUACUGCUGACGGUCUCAAAAUUCGUCCACACAUACCGGAACUACACAAUUUACAAUUGCAAUUAUCAACUCCAUUAAAUUGUGAUAAUUUAAAUUCUGAUCCAUUGGAAUCAGUUGAACAAUGUCUUUCGCCGCCUUCAACAACUAUUCAAGUUUUAAAUGUUUAUUCAACGCCACGAUUAGAUAUUGAUAAUGUUUCACAAAAUUUACCAGCCGCAUUAUUAGCCGGUGAAGAUGCAAUGGUUAGUACAGGAAGUGAAGCUGAAGAUAGCGAUAUACAAAUAGAUGUGUGACAAAAUCUAACAAAUUAUAGGCAAUUACAUUUUAAAGAACUAUUACAACAAUAAUAAUUAUGUACUUUUCACGUGUAAAUAUAUAGUUAUUAAUAACGUCGAUAAAUUGAGCAAGGAAUUUCAAUUUUGCUCGUCCCCAAAUAUAUGGAAUAAGUAGCUGAUUGAAAUAAAUAAAUUUUUUGGGCUUUGAAGAUAUUAAUGACUUCACGGAUCAUCUUGAGAGAAUUUAUUAGCAAGGCAUGUAAAAAAAAAAAAUUAAUCGACGUGAAGUGAUGCACCAAGAAAGAAGAUAUACGUAAAUAAAAAAAAUGUAAAUUUUUUCAAAUAAUAUAGGUAUCAGAUUUUGAUCUCAUCGGCGCUUUUGUUUUUCUUACAAAAGUUGAGAUCGACUGUUUUAUUAUAAAUAUAUAUAUAUAUAUAAAUAAUAUGCUUAAAAUAUUUUAGCGACACAAAAUUUAUAUAAUUGUCUAAUGUUUAGACAAAAAUGACAUUUGUAAAUAUGACUAGUAAUUUUAUCACUGUAUAAACGUUAAUUAUAGACUAUAUUUUUUAGAAUAGUACAAAAAAAAUCGCUGUAAUUGGUGUGUAGCGAUUCUGAGUGAAUUUGUUUUUACAUAAAAAGAUGUUUUUUUUUUAU